rnacentral:rRNA from 1 species
AUUGAACGCUGGCGGCAUGCUUUACACAUGCAAGUCGAACGGUAACAGGCCGCAAGGUGCUGACGAGUGGCGAACGGGUGAGUAAUGCAUCGGAACGUGCCCAGUCGUGGGGGAUAACGCAGCGAAAGCUGCGCUAAUACCGCAUACGAUCUAUGGAUGAAAGCGGGGGACCGUAAGGCCUCGCGCGAUUGGAGCGGCCGAUGUCGGAUUAGGUAGUUGGUGGGGUAAAGGCCCACCAAGCCAACGAUCUGUAGCUGGUCUGAGAGGACGACCAGCCACACUGGGACUGAGACACGGCCCAGACUCCUACGGGAGGCAGCAGUGGGGAAUUUUGGACAAUGGGCGCAAGCCUGAUCCAGCAAUGCCGCGUGCAGGAAGAAGGCCUUCGGGUUGUAAACUGCUUUUGUACGGAACGAAACGGUUCUCUCUAAUACAGAGGGCUAAUGACGGUACCGUAAGAAUAAGCACCGGCUAACUACGUGCCAGCCGCCGCGGUAAAAC